rnacentral:tRNA from 1 species
AGCUCUGGAGUGUUAACAUGCCAGAUUGCAAAUCUGGAGAGGCAGGCAAAAACCUGUCAGAGCUU